rnacentral:rRNA from 1 species
GUAGGUGGCAAGCGUUGUCCGGGAAUUAUUGGGGCGUAAAGCGCGCGCAGGCGGUUUUUUAAGUCUGAUGUGAAAGCCCACGGGCUCAACCGUGGAGGGUCAUUGGAAACUGGAGAACUUGAGUACAGAAGAGGAAAGCGGAAUUCCACGUGUAGCGGUGAAAUGCGUAGAGAUGUGGAGGAACACCAGUGGCGAAGGCGGCUUUCUGGUCUGUAACUGACGCUGAGGCGCGAAAGCGUGGGGAGCAAACAGGAUUAGAUACCCUGGUAGUCCACGCCGUAAACGAUGAGUGCUAAGUGUUAGGGGGUUUCCGCCCCUUAGUGCUGCAGCUAACGCAUUAAGCACUCCGCCUGGGGAGUACAGCCGCAAAGGCUG